GAUGAACGCUGACAGAAUACUUAACACAUGCAAGUCUACUUGAUCCUUCGGGUGAUGGUGGCGGACGGGUGAGUAACGCGUAAAGAACUUGCCCUGCAGUCUGGGACAACAUUUGGAAACGAAUGCUAAUACCGGAUAUUAUGUGAGUUUCGCAUGAAAUUCAUAUGAAAGCUAUAUGCGCUGCAGGAGAGCUUUGCGUCCUAUUAGCUAGUUGGUGAGGUAACGGCUCACCAAGGCGAUGAUAGGUAGCCGGCCUGAGAGGGUGAACGGCCACAAGGGGACUGAGACACGGCCCUUACUCCUACGGGAGGCAGCAGUGGGGAAUAUUGGACAAUGGACCAAAAGUCUGAUCCAGCAAUUCUGUGUGCACGAUGAAGUUUUUCGGAAUGUAAAGUGCUUUCAGUUGGGACGAAGUAAGUGACGGUACCAACAGAAGAAGCGACGGCUAAAUACGUGCCAGCAGCCGCGGUAAAAC
rnacentral:rRNA from 1 species